rnacentral:rRNA from 1 species
UACGUAGGGGGCAAGCGUUAUCCGGAUUUAUUGGGCGUAAAGGGAACGCAGGCGGUCUUUUAAGUCUGAUGUGAAAGCCUUCGGCUCAACCGGAGAAUUGCAUCAGAAACUGUUGAACUUGAGUGCAGAAGAGGGAAGUGGAAUUCCAUGUGUAGCGGUGAAAUGCGUAGAGAUAUGGAGGAACACCAGUGGCGAAGGCGGCUUCCUGGUCUGCAACUGACACUGAGGCGCGAAAGCGUGGGGAGCAAACAGG